rnacentral:Y_RNA from 1 species
GACUGGUCCGAAGUUAGUGAGUUAUCUCGAUUGUUCACAGUUACAGAUCAAACUCCUUGUUCUACUCUAUCCCCUUCUCACUUAUGCACUUGACUAGUGUAAA